GGACGGUCGUCGGUCUGCGUAUUCGAGCGGCCGAUAUCUGAUUAGCUAGUUGGUGGGGUAAAGGCCUACCAAGGCGACGAUCAGUAGCGGGUCUGAGAGGAUGAUCCGCCACACUGGGACUGAGACACGGCCCAGACUCCUACGGGAGGCAGCAGUGGGGAAUUUUGGACAAUGGGCGCAAGCCUGAUCCAGCCACGCCGCGUGUCUGAAGAAGGCCUUCGGGUUGUAAAGGACUUUUGUCAGGGAAGAAAAGGAUAGGGUUAAUACCCCUGUCUGAUGACGGUACCUGGAGAAUAAGCACCGGCUAACUACGUG
rnacentral:rRNA from 1 species